CCUACGGGUGGCUGCAGUGGGGAAUAUUUGGCAAUGGGCGCAAGCCUGACCCAGCAACGCCGCGUGAAGGAAGAAGGCUUUCGGGUUGUAAACUUCUUUUCUCAGGGACGCAGCAAGUGACGGUACCUGCGGAAUAAGCCACGGCUAACUACGUGCCAGCAGCCGCGGUAAUACGUAGGUGGCAAGCGUUAUUCGGAUUUACUGGGUGUAAAGGGAGUGUAGGCGGGACUGCAAGUCAGAUGUGAAAACCACGGGCUCAACCUGUGGCCUGCAUUUGAAACUGUAGUUCUUGAGUACUGGAGGGGCAGACGGAAUUCCUGGUGUAGCGGUGAAAUGCGUAGAUAUUAGGAGGAACACCAGUGGCGAAGGCGGUCUGCUGGACAGCAACUGACGCUGAGGCGCGAAAGCGAGGGGAGCGAAAAGGAUUAGAUACCCCAGUAGUC
rnacentral:rRNA from 1 species